CAAGUUUCACAUAUUUCAACUUCACUGAUUGCUUGAAAUCAGGGAGUUUUCUCAAAGAUGAUGGCUGGAUCAAGGGUUUAGUUUGAUUUGAUUCAGACAUUGUUGCUUGAUUCGUUGAUCGACAAAGGUGGCCAAAAUCAAAAGUAUCCUGCGAUAGAAAUUGGAAUCUUUGAGGAUUUUCAAAAGCCAACAGGAAAGGGGCUUAAACCCCAAAUACACUUUAACGAUCAAUACAAAAGAUCAAAACAUAAACUUUUGCAUCAGACUCAGGCAAUGCAAAAGCAAGAAGUCAAAGAACCUCAACACCCCUGCAAAAUUAGACAAAACCCAUCACCAAACUACAUCACUACAUCAUUUACAUUCUCAAAAUCACAAAAAUGCUCAAUCUUGGUGACAUAAAAGAGAUCUACAUGAAGUCUUUUUAUCACCAACAGAAAUGAUAAACGACAAAAAAGAAGAAGAAAGCAAAUACAUGCCAUUUCAAGCCGUAGAAAUGACCCAAUACAGAAAUGUUACUUAUAAAGUACGAUCAAGAAGGAAAAACUGACCUUGAAUGAGAAAUCUGAAGAGAAAUGGAUACCCUAUCUCAUCUGAAAAACCAAAGGACACGAGUGAGGGAAACCUGAAAGCACUUUCGUGUCUUGUAAAAAUCAGAC
rnacentral:lncRNA from 1 species